CACACUGACGGAGGGCAAAAGAUGAAAUUGGACUAAUAUAAAGACUAGAAAGUCCCUGAUUUAAAAGGAUAAACUGGAAAAAGAGAGAAGCAGAAGUUUACUACGUAAUCCUGCGUUAUCGACGUGGAAGAUCUAGGUCUUGUAAACCCGUGUGGUCAAAAAGCUUGAAAGUCUUUUAUUAGCUUGAGGAUUUUAAAAGUCUAUUUUUGAACAAAUAGAUUCUCUCUGUCCUUUUAGGGAGAAGAAGCACUCAUGUACAUCAAGACAUGAAGAGCAAUAUCAUUCCCAGCUAUUGUUACACAUCGAGGCCUGUGUGUCUGUACAGUGCACACGGAUGUGGAGGUAGAGAGCAGGGCCGAACUGACAUGGACACUGAAGGAGAGAUGCCCAU